UCAUAGCACCUUCGCUAGGUAAUCGGUCAACCUUGCUGUAAAGGAAAAUCCUUUGAUUGAUAAAGUAUGAACCAUAAAUAUAGUCCAGCUCAGUUUAUGUAUAGGUAUGUGAGUGUUAAUGUGGUUUAUCUUCCAUGAUUGAACUCCUAAUUGCUUUUCAUCUGUGCUCGCCAUUUAAUUUUUGACACUAGAAUUGUGGUUCAGAUGAUCCACGAAAAUGUAAAAAUGUUUAAUCCCCACAAAUGCACCACCUUUAUUUCUAUUAAUAUCAGAGUUGUGUACGUCAAUUUAUAAUCUAAUGGUCGAACCAUACGUUUUUACUUUGAAGAGUUUUCUUUAAGUUUUCGGAUAACAAUGGUUUGGUGCAUUUUCUCUUCAAUUAGACAAUACUCAAGUUUGUUAUUCCCUUAUCAUGGUAAAAUAAGGCAUUUUCAAUUUUCACUAUAUAUGCAGUACACUAAGAUAUCAUCAUUUGUUAACAUAGAAAUGCUUAUACGUGGAAAAUGUUAACUUUCAUUGGGCGCCGACACGUUUUAUCAGUUGGUGGCAGCAUUUAGAAAAUCUUGCCACCUACGAGCAGCUGGAUUCUCUUAAAGGUCUGCAUUUCAAUGUUGGACAGGAUUUAUGACAAAGAGGGGAGAUCAAGUUUGUCAACCAAAGGAUCUUAUAAGCACACCCUCUAUGUGUUCCUGGAGUUUGAGCUACUGUUUGUGAUUGGACUAAUGUAUGCAUAUUUGACUGUCAAUUAUCUUUAUGGUUCCUAUCUACAUCGGCGGAGCCACAUAUAGUUGAGUUUUGUCGAAAAAUUACACUGUGUAACUAGGUAAAAUUUUUUAUUUUUAUGUAUAUAUAUUACAUAUUGACACUUCUUGGUUUCUUCGUGAAUUUACUUCUUUAUAUUUUGACACCCCUUAGUGAAAAUUCUGGCUCCGCCACUGCCUAUCUACAUAGGAUUUACCCGGAGAAGCAUGGAAGAUGCAGUUACUGGGUGUAGCUUGUUUGUCACUUGCUUGCUAAAAUGGAGGCGAUUGAAGUUAGUGUAAAGCUACAGGCAAAUGCAUGUUCAUCUUGCUCGUUCUUUUUUGAGGGCAUGUUUGAAGUUCA